rnacentral:rRNA from 1 species
AUUGAACGCUGGCGGCAGGCCUAACACAUGCAAGUCGAGCGAGCGGCGGACGGGUGAGUAAUGUAUGGGGACUGCCCGAUAGAGGGGGAUACCUACUGGAACCGGUGGCUAAUACCGCAUCCUAUCGGAUAACCCAUAUGGGAUUAGCUAGUAGGUGGGGUAAAGGCUCACCUAGGCGACGAUCUCUAGCUGGUCUGAGAGGAUGAUCAGCCACACUGGGACUGAGACACGGCCCAGACUCCUACGGAGGCAGCAGUGGGGAAUAUUGGACAAUGGGCGCAAGCCUGAUGCAGCCAUGCCGCGUGUAUGAAGAAGGCCUUAGGGUUGUAAAGUACUUUCGGCGGGGAGGCGUUACCCACAGAAGAAGCACCGGCUAACUCCGUGCCAGCAGCCGCGGUAAUAC